UUGGAAAGCAUCAACAGAUUUGCCAUCUUCAUAGGUAAUCACAGGUGCCUAGCUUUGGAUACUCAUAUAUUCCCAUCGAUUGAGGCAAACUGUGUCUACUUCACUGAACACCUGGAUUCGUCCGCUCAUAUCUGCAAGUGCAACAUCAAAGACCGGGAAGCAGAGAGGAUCUCUGAAGCUGCUGAUUUCGUGAAGCAGGACAAGAAGUUUGUCCUCGUUGGCAACCGCCCUUUCACGCUCAUCCAGCUUCUCUCCAGCUACACCAUCAACCGUCCGGAUUCUCAGUUGGCCUUGCAACAUGUGCCAUAA
rnacentral:rRNA from 1 species